rnacentral:lncRNA from 1 species
AGGGACUGAAAUAUCAGGCAUCCUCUAAGUCGUUCUUCACACCACGGAACUAGCUGGGAUGUGGGGCCGCUCCAAAGCCACAGAUGUCAAAUAAUGCAGAUGUAUACGUUUCCCUUCCUGUGAGUGGGGCCCUUAAACUGCACCAGAUAUUACACCCUCAAAGCUUUCCGUGGUGUAUAUUCGCCACCUACAUGACAAGGAUAGCACCCGAUGCUGUGGGCAAGUACAAGGUGGCUGUAGUUCCAAGAAUUCUACCGACGUUGUAAUCAGUUGUUAACACCGGAUCAGGUCUAGGGAGAGAGCGUGGCGCAACCACACACGCUGGUGCCAAAAGCUUCGUGCUUGCGUGUCAUGCCUUAGGACGUUAUUGACUGCAAAACCAUAGAUCCGAAUCGAUGUUUUGUUUCCGGAUUGCUUGGACCUGAUGCCCUCAUGGACCUCACGGUGGGCAGAUCCACUUACAAACUCCCACAACUUCGAGUUGUUUAUUUAUUCA